rnacentral:lncRNA from 1 species
GAUGUGCUUCUACUCAAAAAAAAAUAUAUUGAUGUUGUACUGGCCAAUUUCUGACAAUAAACUAUUGUAAUUUUCUCAUCAACUCCUAGCUUGUGAUAAUUCAUCGAACACAUAUCCAGACAUCAAUAAUCAGUCCCCAAUCUUUUGUGAUUUGGAACUUUGCCCGCAUGAUGAAAAGUAAAAUGUCAAUGUUGCACCACACCAUUACUUGCUAAAAGGGCUCGUUUGGUUCGCAGGAAAAGGAGGGGGAAAAAGUGUGGUCAACGGGAAAGUAAUGAAAUGCCUCUUGUUUAGUUGGAGUUUUCAAAGGAGAGAGAUGGAAAAUUUGUAUUCCCAUGGGAAUAUGAUUCCCACAUUUCAUAGGAAAGUCUUUCCCAUGAAAGUUACUUUCCCAUGAGGUGAGAAUCACUCCUUUUUUAUUUUUUCCCAAAAAGACCCUUCAGCAUUAAAGAAGCAUUAAAGAGGCAUUAAAGACCUAAUUUUUAUUAAGGGCAUAAUAAGAAUUAUACAUAACUUUCCUAGGAAAGUGGAUGGUGAACCAAAUAUAAGCACUUUGGAAAUUUGUCACUUUCUUAUGGUUAACCAAACAUGCCAAAAGUACUUUCCUAGGUAUCCUCUUCCAGGAAUCAUAUUCCUAAGAGAAAAAAUACUUCCCGCGAACCAAACGAGCCCAAAGUGUAAG